CUUUUCACACUUAGAUUUUUCAGUUCUGACCUAUUAGCUUAUAGUAAGUCUGAAUUAUUAGUGUAUUUAUAUUAAUAGUAUAUCAUUAGUAUAUUUAAAUAUUAUGCACUAAUGAGUUAAUAUUCCCCGGUUCAGAUUUUUAGUAAUAUAAAGAUAAAUGUGACCCAUUUAAACUAGAUGCAAUUAGUAGCCUUCUUUUUGGGUCAUUUUUAUUUGAGGUAUGGUAUAUUUAUAUCAUAUUUACUUUAAAGAUUAUAAUUUAGUCAGUCUUUUUCUCACCUCCCAUUACGUCUUUCCUCACUCUUUCCUUUCCUCCCUAUCUCCUUCCUUCCCUUUCUGUUUCUUGCUGUCAUUCUUCCUCUUUCUUUCUUAGGGAUCACUUUUCCUCAAUACUUACUCUAGAAAGUAAUCUCUAUUUCUUCUCCAUGUCUUAUAUUUUCCCAUGUGUGGUACUGAUAGUUGCAGCUAUAAUUUCUUGAGUCCAUGGUCCUUUUCUUUUGAGAGGUAACACAGGGAAGAGAAGUAACCAAUUUUGAAUGCCCAACAGACGAUACUGAGAACAGAAUUCCCAGGGAGAUCACCCUAAAGGGAAGGGAGAGAGGCUUUCAUCAUUAACUUUCCAUGAAGACUUGAUUAUUUCAAGGAUUUUUGUAAAUGUUAUUUGAAAUAAUUUCAUUUAAGUUGUUAUAUGUACAUUGUGGAAUUUAAAAAGAUAAUUGUUGGUAUCGGUUUAAACAUUUAAAUGAUAAAAAGUCAUACCCCGAAGAGGGAAACAAUCUACUGUUUUCCGAAAAAUAAUAAGACAUGAAAUAUGGAUGUUAGUCUCUAUACUACAUUGUGAGCAAAAAAGAAAUAAAAAUAUCUUGCUAAAAUACUGCCAAGUUCACAUAAUUUUUAGGCUGGAAACCCCAAGAGUCAGAUUCAAACUUUUUUGUGCCAGUGUCCAAACUCUUACUUUUAAAGCCAUGCUGGCAGACUGGGAAAAUAGGAAAGAAAUUUAACAUUUUAUACAUUGGUCUUCUUUCUGCUUCUGUAGUCCACUAGACUUUUCUUGUUCCUGAUACUCACUUCUUAGUUUGUCACAUUACUUCUGUCCCCUCCCCCCAUCUUGGCUCUAAUUAAUGUCAGCCCCAGAGAGACUUUUCAUAACCAUCUUAUGGAAAGCACUUCUCAAGUUACAUCAUCCUAUUUAUUUUCUUCUGAACAGUUGUAGUAUCUGUAAAUUUCUUUCUCUCUAUAAGCAGUAUUAGGUUAAAAAAAAUUUCCCUCAAAUUCCUGUGUCAUAGAAUAGUAGCUAGAAUAUACUAGCAUAUUCAGUAUCUGUUGGCUAAACAAAUGCAACUUUUUAUAUACCUGGCUCCUCUAAGUAUACAGAAAUAAACAAAUACUGUUUCCUCCAAAUUAAAAAAAAAGUAAUUUAAACCAUUUCAUUUUAGCUUUAAAUUAUUAUUGUGACAGUAAAAAAAAAACUGUUAAAAAGAGAUAAUAAGCUAUAAGCUUAUAGUCAAUAUCCAUGAAUAUUGUUAGAAAUUCAUAAUUCAUACUGAAAUGGGGGUAGAUAGCAUAGUGGUUAUGCAAAGAGACUUUCAUACCUGAGACUCCAAAGUCCCAAAAUCCCCCACAACACCUUAAGCCAGAGCUGAGCAGUUCUCUGUUAAACAAAAAUAAAAUAAAUAAAUAAAAUAUUAAACAAAAAAAAGAAUUUCAUACUGAAGCUACUCUCUCUGAUAUACUGUGUAAUCUUGCAUUCAUUGCCAACACAAACACUUAAGCAAACAUACUAUAAUGCUUUACUAAGUUGAUUGUCUUACACUUAAAGUAACUGCACUGAUACAUUUAUUUAAUUUCUUGCAUAAAGUAGCUGUUUUUAGAAACUUGUAUUUAACAUGUGUAGACAUCUUAUAUAAGUCUUAGUGGAUAGUAACCAAAGGUUAUCUCAAAAUGUAGAAUUAUAAGUGGCAAGUAAGUGCUUCAUUGUGUGAAUAAAGAUUAUGAUCUGUAUUUACAAAUACAUUUUAUAAAGUUAUUUCAGGUUCCCCUUCUCCCCUUUUUCCUUUGGUUCUUACCAGUGCCAUACAGGUCUGUGCUGACUUUUUCAGAUAGGUAGUUAGGUAGGAAUAGAUAGAUAAAGAAAGGCAGCAUAUAGAACCAAAGUUUUUCAAUGCUGGACUUGAACCUGGCUUACAUGCUUGGCUAAGCACUAUCUAGGUGACCAUUUUGCCAACCUUGCAUUAUUUUUUUCAACAGAAGUUAAGAACUGUGUUACAUGGAAUAAUAUUUACUUUAAAAAACUGCUGUAUUAUUGUUUUAUAUAGAACAGAUAGAUAUAUUAGAGGAGAAUGAGAUAGAGAGAGGAAGAGAGAGACACCUGCAAUACUUGCUUCACCACUUGAGAAGCUUCCUCUUGUAGGGAGGAGCAGGGCCUUUGAACCCAGGGCCUUGCAGAUGGUGCACUUAAUCAGGCAUACCAACGCCCAACCUCCAGUAUUUACUUCGUAGACUUCAGAAGGACAAAACGUACUAAAGUGUUGUUUGUUUGUUUUCCCCUUGUAAAUUUAUAUAGGAGCUUUAUCCUUCUAGUCUCAUUACUAGAUAAGAGAAAACCCAAUAGCAUCCUGUUUGUUUUAUUUUUAUUUAUUAUUUAUUUAUUUUGUUUUAUUUUUAAAAUUACAGUAUUUUUAUGCCUCACAAUUCUCAUGACUUCUUUGAUUCUGCUACCAUGCUAUUUACGAGUGUUCAUUAAUUACUAAAACCUCAGUGCUUUGAGAUAUGUAUUUCUCCAAAAGGUGAAACAUUAGCCUUUAUAAGUGUUUCGCUAUUCUAUAUAUAGAUAAAGCAGUAUUACUUCUGAGCUUGGUAGGAAGAGGGAGUGUUGUUUUGAGGUGCUUAUAAAAACAAACUAAGUACCUUCCCUGGUGGGUUCUGACUUCCUUUGCUGUGUACACACAAGCCUGUGUCAGGUAGCUCUUUUUAGAUCAGUAUCAGAAAGUUAGAGUAGGUGGCAGCUGAACUGAUACUCUUAGUGAGAAAACACAAUCGGGGCUGGUGACUGAGUUCUGUAUUUAAUUCUAUACUUGAAAGUGACUAGUUAAGUAAAACAAGAACUGAUUUACCUGUAGACUAAUUCACAGGCAUUAAACAGAUAUGACAUUACUUUUCCUUACUUGAAACUGUCGAUUUAAGUUUCUAAAUUAAAACACAACUGUGAAUUAGAAACUAGAUCUUUAAUUUCAAAGUAAAGAGUAAUAUUUUAAAAUGUUGAAUCCAUGUGAUAUUUUUAUUUCAUUUUAGUGAACUCUAUCAGGAGGUAACCUUUAUCCAUUGGAGAGGAACAUAGAUUCUCUUUCAUUCUACUUUUUGACACCUUUCAUAAUUUGUCUCCCAUUAUCAGAUACUGUAUUUAAUAGUUGCCUUUCUAAAUAAAAACCGAAAAGGAUUGUAGUAUGUAGAAAACACACAUUUCCCUUUAUAAAAUAACAUAGAAUUGGUAAUACUCGUUAAAGGAUUUCUAGGCAAUCAAAGAUGUUUAUGCCAGUUAUUCAUAGUUAAUUUAUACAUGUUGAUGUGUCUGUAUCCACAUGACUUUUUCUAUGCAUUUUUGUGAGAGUUUUUAGAAAAUUAUAAAUUAUGGCUGUAUUUAUUGAUUUUUUGUUGAUAACAUAGCACUUACCAAAACCAAGAAUUGUACAAGUCUUAUUUAGCCUUAAUUACCUGAAUUGGAAUACUUGAAUUUUUUUUGAAUACUUGAACAUUUUUUUAGAUAUGUUGUAGCCUAUUAUGUAGAAAAAGAAUGGAUGAUCGGUUCCCCUUUUCUAUUUAUACUUUAUUUUAUAAAAGCAAAACUUAAAUGGGCAUGUUUAUCCUUGAAAUAUCUUGAUGUCUGUAUAACAGUUUCAAACUAUGUAAGGUAUUACUUAUGCUUGCAAGAACCACUUUCCAAAUAAAACAAAGACAUGGGAACUUUUCUCUUAGUUUCAAAUAACAGCUUCACAUUCUGGAAAGCGCCUAUAAUGACACUCUAAUUUUGGAAUAUCUGACAGUUAUGAACUAUGGGAUUGUAAAAUAGGUUUAAGUUGGCAUAACAACUUGUUUUUUUAAAACAUCUUUAUGCUUAUUUGAAUAAAAGACUUAGGAUUUUUUUUUUUGGGGGGGUGAAGUAGUGUUAAAAAAGUUGUUUCUACCUGUACUAGAUUCAUUUAGAAGUUAGUAUAGUUCAAACAUCAUGAAACACUUUAGUUUUCCAUUUUUCUGCUAAUGAAGAUUUUUUUCCCCUUUUUAAAAAUCUAGUCAUUUAAUAAUUGAUUUUCAAAACCAUAGAUUACAGGGGUGUAAGUCCACAUCAUUACCAACUAGAGUUCUGUGUCCAUAUUCCCUCCCUUGGAAACUGCAGUAGUUCUCCCAGUGUCACAGAUACGGGUUGACGAUUCUUUUUGAACAGACUUCCCUGUCUUAUCUGUGUAUUUUUUUUUUUUGCUCAUCCACCCCCCAUGCUUCUGCCUUCUCUUCCUUUUUAAGUCACAUCUACACCUAUUACUACUUCUGAGUGUCCUUUUUUCUUCAUCUGUCUCAGGACCCUGAUAGAAUUGGGGCUCAAAGUCCCCUGUUCAUCUUCCUCUAACAUUUCUCCCCCACUCAAAGUAUGAACUAGAAUUCUUUUUGGGAUUCAGUCCUGACUUCUGCGAUUGCUGCUCUGCUGGAAAUUUUCUUUGUGUUAUUGUGGGAAAUGAUAGAUAAAGCUGUGCUUUUCAAGCCACAAUGUUUCAAUAGGUUCAUUUCUCAUUGAUUAAAAGUAUUGCACCAGACACUGAUGACUACUUAGAUUAAGGUUGUUUAGAAUUUACAUUUCAUAGUUUCUCCUUAAAAAAAUAAGAAGUAAAUUGUUUCAUUCCUUACCUAUUUUGUAAUCUCACAGAGAAUACAAGGCACACAGUAGUGAAUAAUCAAAGAAGGUGUGGUAUAUCAACUACACAUACGUACAAACAAUGGAAUAUUGCUCAUCUAUAAAAUAGGAAAUUUUUCUUUUGCAACAACUUGGGUGGAACUUGAUAGAAUCAUAUUAAGGGACAGAAGGAGAGAAUAAAUAUAUCAUGAUCUCUCCAGCAUUAGAACUUAAGACAGGAAGGGAAUGUGAAGGGUAAGAUUUUAAUUAGUUAUGGUAUAUUGCAAGUAGAGAGGUGAGAGGGAGUUGGGAGGGGUGUAUUCUAACCUAUUGUCUGAUGGAGGAGGAAGAUUGUGAAUUGGUGGAGGAUGUGGUAUGCUGAUUGAUAUUAUUGGAGUUAAUCUGUGAUAACAGAUUUGCACAGCAACAUUUUUCAAUAAAUUGAUCUGAAAAUAU